AUGGCGAGGAAAGAGAUGUUUGAAGAUACUAUGGAAUAGUGUGUCAUUGAUGAAGAAUAUAAAAUCUGGGAGAAAAAUACACCGUUUCUGUAUGACCUGAUUAUGACCAUGAUCUUCAGUGGCCCCAUCUUACCAUUCAGUGGCUUCCUGAGGUGACUAAACCGGAAGGAAAGGAUUAUGCCCUUCAUUGGCUAGAGCUAGGGACUCAUACGUCUGAUGAGCAGAGUCAUCUGGUGGUUGCUGGAGUACAUGUUCCCAAUGAUGAUGCACAGUUUGAUGCUUCCCAUUGUGACAGUGACAAGGGGGAAUUUGGGGGCUUUGGUUCUGUAACAGGAAAAAUGGAAUGUGAAAUUAAAAUUAAUCAUGAGGGAGAGGUAAACCAUGCUCAUUACAUGCCACAGAAUCCUCAUAUCAUUGCUACAAAAACACCAUCUUCUGACAUGUUGGUUCUUGACUAUACAAAACAACCCGCCAAACCAGACCCAAGUGAAGAAUGUAAUCCUGAUCUUAGGUUAAGAGGUCACCAAAAGGAGGGCUGUGGCCUUUCCUGGAAUUCUAAUUUAAGUGGACAUCUCCUAAGUGCAUUCGAUGACCACACUGUCUAUCUGUGGGAUAUAAAUGCAGGACCAAAGAAGACAAAAUUGUGGAUGCAAAAGCAACCUUUAUCGGCCACUCAGCUGUUGCAGAGGAUGUGGCCUGGCAUCUGCUGCAUGAGUCAUUGUUUGGAUCUGUUGCUGAUGAUCAGAAACUUAAAAUAUGGGACACCAGGUCUAACACCACCUCCAAGCUGAGCCAUUUGGUGCAUGCUCAUACUGCUGAGGUCAACUGUCUCUCCUUCAAUCCCUACAGUGAGUUCAUUCUAGCCACUGGCUCUGUGGAUAAGACUGUAGCUUUAUGGGAUCUGUGUAACUUGAAAUUAAAACUCCAUACCUUUGAAUCUCAUAAAGAUGAAAUUUUCCAGGUCCACUGGUCUCCACAUAGCAAAACUAUUCUGGUUUCAAGUGGUACUGAUUGCUGCCUGAAUGUGUGGGAUUUAAGUAAAAUUGGAGAACAAUCAGCAGAAGAUGCAGAAGAUGGGCUUCCAGAACUCCUGUUUAUUCAUGGAGGACAUACUGCCAAGAUUUCAGAUUUUAACUGGAACCCCAAUGAGCCUUGGGUCAUUUGCUCAGUGUCUGAGGAUAGCAUCAUGCAGAUAUGGCAAAUGGCUGAAAAUAUUUACAAUGAUGAAGAGUCAGAUGUCACAGCAUUGGAACUGGAGGGACAAGGAUCUUAAACCCAAUACAAGAGAUGUUUCUGUUGAAUGUAAUACUACAAGAAUGCUUGAUUUAUCAAGUGCCAGAAAGGCAUUGUAUAGUAGGAACUGUUAAGAGGGAUGGCUUAUGGCAUUCUUUACCCUCUGAUUUUAGCACUUUUAAGUGAGCUGUUGCAUACUGUAUCAUAUUGUAGCUAUUAGGGAAGAGAGGAAUGCUGCUUAAGAAAGAAUAUUAUCAUUGUUUUAAA